rnacentral:rRNA from 1 species
GAUGAACGCUGGCGGCGUGCCUAAUACAUGCAAGUCGAGCGAAGCGGGGACGGGUGAGUAAUACGUGGAUGACAUCCUAGAAGGCUGGGAUCACGUAGGGAAAGCGGAGCUAAACAGGAUACGAAAAGGUGGAAGCGCGCUGGAUUAGCUAGUUGGUAAGGUAACGGCUUACCAAGGAAACGAUGCAUGGCCGACCUGAGAGGGUGAUCGGCCACACUGGAACUGAGACACGGUCCAGACUCCUACGGGAGGCAGCAGUAGGGAAUCUUCCGCAAUGGGCGAAAGCCUGACGGAGCAACGCCGCGUGAGUGAUGAAGGUCUUCGGAUCGUAAAACUCUGUUAUUAGGGAAGCGGUACCUAAUCAGAAAGCCCCGGCUAACUACGUGCCAGCAGCCGCGGUAAUUC